rnacentral:rRNA from 1 species
AGACUGCGAUAAGCUACGGGGAGCUGUCAAGAAGCUUUGAUCCGUAGAUUUCCGAAUGGGGCAACCCAAUGUAUAGAGAUAUACAUUACCUAUAUAGGAGCGAACGAGGGGAAUUGAAACAUCUUAGUACCCUCAGGAAAAGAAAUCAAUAGAGAUUGCGUCAGUAGCGGCGAGCGAAAGCGCAAGAGGGCAAACCCAGUGCUUGCACUGGGGGUUGUAGGACUGCAAUGUGCAAGAGGUAAGUUUAGCAGAACAUUCUGGAAAGUAUAACCAUAGAGGGUGAUAGUCCCGUAUGCGAAAAACAAACCUUAGCUAGCAGUAUCCUGAGUAGGGCGGGACACGAGGAAUCCUGUCUGAAUCCGGGUCGACCACGAUCCAACCCUAAAUACUAAUACCAGAUCGAUAGUGCACAAGUACCGUGAGGGAAAGGUGAAAAGAACUGAGGUGAUCAGAGUGAAAUAGAACCUGAAACCAUUUGCUUACAAUCAUUCAGAGCCCUAUGUAGCAAUACAGGGUGAUGGACUGCCUUUUGCAUAAUGAGCCUGCGAGUUGUGGUGUCUGGCAAGGUUAAGCAAACGCGAAGCCGUAGCGAAAGCGAGUCUGAAUAGGGCGCUUAGUCAGAUGCUGCAGACCCGAAACGAAGUGAUCUAUCCAUGAGCAAGUUGAAGCUAGUGUAAGAACUAGUGGAGGACUGAACCCAUAGGCGUUGAAAAGCCCCGGGAUGACUUGUGGAUAGGGGUGAAAGGCCAAUCAAACUUCGUGAUAGCUGGUUCUCUCCGAAAUAUAUUUAGGUAUAGCGUUGUGUCGUAAUAUAAGGGGGUAGAGCACUGAAUGGGCUAGGGCAUACACCAAUGUACCAAACCCUAUCAAACUCCGAAUACCUUAUAUGUAAUCACAGCAGUCAGGCGGCGAGUGAUAAAAUCCGUCGUCAAGAGGGAAACAACCCAGACUACCAGCUAAGGUCCCUAAAUCUUACUUAAGUGGAAAACGAUGUGAAGUUACUUAAACA